UGCAAGAAUGUGUUAUUUACAGCUUCAUUUGUUGAAAAUGUAGCAAGAUAGUAUUAAUUAAUUGGAAUACAUUGUUGUGAUGAGCAGACAUCAAGAUGAGAAGGCACACAUGCAUGUAGAGGACAAUCCACUCAAAUUUUCAGAAUAAAGUGUUUGGAGUUUAUCUAGAUGAAACAUACAUGAACAAGUUUCAGGACAUUCUUCUGGAUGGUCUGGGCAGCCCAAAGACUAGUCUAAACCAAAGAUUACCAGGUAGUUUGCCCAGUAAUGAUCACUUGAUGAGCCAGACACAAAGUGUUAGUGAUAUGGAAAGAAAAAUACUCACUUUCUAAUCCAUUCAUAGAUGUUGUUUCUCUCCUCGGCUUCAUGUUUAUUACGUCCAAUACGAGUCAUGACUUCUUUUGUACCAAUUGACAUUCAAACCAUGGAUACCAGCAGCACUGAGCAUUUCUUCUUCAGUCUCAUGAAUAUCUAUAAGAUAAUCUUAAUAAAUAUAGGAUAGGCAACUCAUUUACCGCUUGGAAUAUUUUUCAAAUUAACUUAAA